rnacentral:rRNA from 1 species
CCGAUUGAUGGCUCAGUGAGGCCUUCGGACUGGCGCCGGAGGGUUGGCAACGACCCCCCAGCGCCGGAAAGUUGGUCAAACUCGGUCAUUUAGAGGAAGUAAAAGUCGUAACAAGGUUUCCGUAGGUGAACCUGCGGAAGGAUCAUUACCGAGUGCGGGCCCCUCGGGGCCCAACCUCCCACCCGUGUUGCCCGAACCUAUGUUGCCUCGGCGGGCCCCGCGCCCGCCGACGGCCCCCCUGAACGCUGUCUGAAGUUGCAGUCUGAGACCUAUAACGAAAUUAGUUAAAACUUUCAACAACGGAUCUCUUGGUUCCGGCAUCGAUGAAGAACGCAGCGAAAUGCGAUAACUAAUGUGAAUUGCAGAAUUCAGUGAAUCAUCGAGUCUUUGAACGCACAUUGCGCCCUCUGGUAUUCCGGAGGGCAUGCCUGUCCGAGCGUCAUUGCUGCCCUCAAGCCCGGCUUGUGUGUUGGGCCCCGUCCCCCCCGCCGGGGGGACGGGCCCGAAAGGCAGCGGCGGCACCGCGUCCGGUCCUCGAGCGUAUGGGGCUUCGUCACCCGCUCUAGUAGGCCCGGCCGGCGCCAGCCGACCCCCAACCUUUAAUUAUCUCAGGUUGACCUCGGAUCAGGUAGGGAUACCCGCUGAACUUAAGCAUAUCAAUAAGCGGAGGAAAAGAAACCAACCGGGAUUGCCCUAGUAACGGCGAGUGAAGCGGCAAGAGCUCAAAUUUGAAAGCUGGCCCCCUCGGGGUCCGCAUUGUAAUUUGCAGAGGAUGCUUCGGGAACGGCCCCCAUCUAAGUGCCCUGGAACGGGCCGUCAUAGAGGGUGAGAAUCCCGUCUGGGAUGGGGUGGCCGCGCCCG